AAAAAAAAAAAAAAAAAAAAUGUAGGCAAGAAGAUGGAACUUUGAAGGCAAGACAAAGGUCUUAUUGGUACAUUUAUGCACUUGCACAUGGAAUGGUCACAAGUACAUUCAAGAUCCAAUUAUUGUCCUUUGCUCAAUUGCUAGUGAAGUUGUUCUCUUAAAAAAGAUUUCUCCAUUUUGUGAAUAAACUCUAAUAAAUUUUGAGUGCAGUAAUAAGGUCCCUAUCUUCUACAAUUAUCAAACAAAAUUUGUUGUUGUGUGAUGUAGACCACAUUAAUUGUGGCAAAGAAGCCAAGUCAUAGCUUCCUUCCCUUCAAAGUUGGUGAGCAAGAAAAGAAGAAAAUGCUAGUCUUUCGG
rnacentral:misc_RNA from 1 species